UACGUAGGGGGCAAGCGUUGUCCGGAUUUAUUGGGCGUAAAGAGCGUGUAGGCGGCCUGGAAGGUCAGCUGUGAAAACUCGAGGCUCAACCUCGAGACGUCGGUUGAAACCACCUGGCUAGAGUCCGGAAGAGGAGAGUGGAAUUCCCGGUGUAGCGGUGAAAUGCGCAGAUAUCGGGAAGAACACCCGUGGCGAAGGCGGCUCUCUGGGACGGUACUGACGCUAAGGCGCGAAAGCGUGGGGAGCGAACAGG
rnacentral:rRNA from 1 species